GGGCGGGGGCGAUGAGGACAGCCAGGGUCCUUCCUUCUUCCUGGGGCCUGGCCCUGUGCCAGACCCUCAGCCAAACUGUCCAUAGUCCAGGGCUAAGAAUAUUGGAAGGAGGAAGCCAGCAGCCGGAAUGUUUUCACUUUGGGGUUACAACAGACCCCACACAACUGGGAUUUGGCCAUCAACCAACUUUAAUGUGACCUGGGCGCGUCUCUCUGCUUCAUGUCUUCUUGCACCAAAUGUGGAGAAUCACUCCUUCCUUUCAGGGACAUAGAAGGUGGCUGUGAGAAGAGCUGUGUGAGUACUGGGGUUGGGAGAGCCCCAAAACCUGGGCCUAUUGCCAUUUUUCUCUGGGGAGGAUGGGCUUCUGCUCUACAGACCAAGUCCCUUCCUCUCUCCCGACCCCUGCCUACUCUGGGUCCUGAGAAACCCGGACAGGCCCAGAACCAGCCGUGCCUCCCCUCUUACCUGCCCCAACCCCUUCUCCACUGGGCAGUCGGAGCAGGCUCUCUAAAAUUUCCAUCCCCUGCUCAAACCCUUCUGUGGCUCCCUGAUGCCCCAGGAGAAAGUCCAACCUUGGACACAUGGCUAACGUGACCCAUCUCUGCCCUCCUUCCUCCCUCACUGUGCCUCUUCCCCUUCACUCAGUGGCCCAGCCUGUGACCAGACUGAACAUUUUGCCAUUCUCACCCCCGGGCCUUUGCACGUGCUAUUCCCUCUCCCCAAGACUAGGCAGGAGUACCCCACCUCCAAGUCCUUUCUGACUCAAUUCUACUCAUCCUUCAGGUGUCCACUUAGACCUUCUAGGAUACUUUCCCUCCAUCCUAAACUGUUUCAGGAGCCCCCAGAUCCCUACAAAAGCCAGGGAACUGUCUGCCUUCCCCCUACGCCCCCAGCACCCGGGAAAAGCUUGACAGAGAGAGCACUUUGUGUUUGUUGAAGGACAGAAGGAAUGAUCCCACAUAUCUAGACACACCCAGACAGACACCUUGUGACCCUAAGGUUUGCAUGUGAGUGUGUGCCCGGGGGUUGGUGUAGGGGGCAGUGGGGAGAGGACUUGGCUUCAUGGCUCCCAAGGGCUGACAGUCACACCACCAGUUGUGGCCACACAAUUGGUGAAACAACUAUUUAGUGCCAACCUGUUUAGGGCCCUCCUCGGCCAGUGCACAAAGAGAUGCCCCUCUUUCCCCCUCCCCACCUGGCGCCACCUGUCACUGGGGCAGCUCCAGAAGCAGGGAGGCGGAGGCAGCUGAUGUAGUGGCCUUGAGCUCGAAGUCAGACUCCCUCCCGAAUCCCACCCCCCACUCCAGGCCCCUCUCUGCCACCAACCAGCAUAGGGACGUGAAUGGCUACAUGUCUCUGCUCUUGGUCUUGGCUUCCCUCUUCUGUAAAGUGGGGCUCCUCACCCCACGUUAGAGAGAGCGAUCAGGAACAUCUGUGACACACGUGGCCUGGAGCCUGGACACAGUGAGCGCUCUAUUUGUAUUAGGAGGAAACCCAGAGCCAGGGGAGAAGUGACCUGUGGUCACGGAGCAAGUCCAAUGGCACAGCCUGUCUGCUCUGCUUUCUUCGAACUGCCCACCCCACCCAUCUCUUUUCUCCAGGCUUAAACAUAUUUUUACCUCUACCUGAUGUGACAGUGAAUAGCUAUGUGUUCAAGGUUUCUCUUGGGGGCGAUGAAAUGUUCUAAAAUUGAUUGUGGUGAUUGUUGCACAACUCUGUGAAUGUGCCAAAAACAAUUAAGCUGGGUGCUUUAUUUAUUUAUUUAUAAAUAUUUAUUUAGUUGCAUCAGGUCUUAGUUGCAGCACGCGAACUCUUAGUUGCGGCGUGCACGUGGGAUCUAGUUCCCUGACUGGGGAUCGAACCCGGGCCCCCUGUAUUGGGAGCAUGGAGUCUUAACCACUGCACCACCAGGGAAGUCCCUUGAGUUGGGUACUUUAAAUGAGUGAAUUGUAUGCUUCGUGAAUUAUAUCUCAAUAAAGUUGUUAUUUUUUUUUUUAAAGAGCAAUACUGUACAAGAAAAAGUGCUGGGCUUGGAGAUGCAGGCUCUGCCUGUUAGUAGCUGCACGAACUUCUUGAGCCCAGUUUGCUCAUUGGUGACUCGGGUCCUGUUCCACACCCUGCCUUCCUCCCAGGAACUUGUAAGAUCAGAUGGGAAAGUUGAGUUGCAAUAUGACCAGAGGUAAUACCAGUACCAGUAUGGUUUCUAUAAAAAUGGGUUUCUUACUCCAGAUAUUGACUGGAUAAAGAAAUGAACAUAUACUUCACCAAAGAGGAAAUACAAAGUGAAAAUACAUGGGGAAAAGUGUUCCUCCUCAGUUGUAAUCAAAGGAAUAGAAACAGUAGCAGCUUUAAGGUAUCAUUUUAGUAUACCAAUUUUGGUAAAAACCUUUAAAAAGUGGUAAUAUACUCUGUGCAGGUGCAGUUAUGGUAAAAUCAAUACAUCCAGGUACUGUGACAUAAUAUUAAAUAGCAUAAUCCUCUUGGAAAUCAAUAAAGCAAUAUAUAAGAGCAGAAAUAAAGAGUAAUAUAUUAACCAAAAAUGUUAACAUCUUUGAUUCAAGUAAUUCCACUGUAUGGGAUUUAUGUUUGGCAGGCACCCACCUAAAUGAGCGUGAAGAUGUUCGUCACAAUAUUAUACAUAAUAUUGAAAACAUUGGAAGCUUACUAUGUCCAAUAAAUACAUUAUGGCUUAUCCACUUGAAGAAAUACUAUUAAACCAUUAAAAAUGAGAAUUAUAAAAACAACAUAGUGAUAGGGAAACUGCAAAUGACCUAACAGUAAAAGAAAAAAGUAGGAAGCAAAAAGUAUGUGUGAUAUAAUUGUAACUAAUUACAACUCUAUGUAGACUGUGGCAGAUACUGUUGGUGACCAACGCAACAUUUGUUCCUUUGUCCUUCUCUGUCCUCAAAAUACUUGCUUUCUCAGCUUCACUUGAGCUGUGGUAGCCAUGUUACCAGUAAGAUAUAAACCAAAGUCUCCCGGAGGAAUUCAGGGAAAUAUGUUGCUUUACUGAUAAAUGGGAUUCUCACAGCUUUUACCAUCCCCUCCCUCUAUCCUCAUUCUGCCUUGAAUUUAGGCAAGAUGCCUGGAGUUGCAGCAGCCUCCUUGUGACAGUGAGGCAGCAAGCAUGUUAAAAGGCAACCUAUCAAGGAUGAUGGAGCAGCAACAUUGAAAGACCCUGUGUCCAUGACAUCAUUGUGCUGCCUCCCAACCCGGAAACAACCUGCUGCCAGUCUUUUGGUAUACAACGAAAAUAAACCCCCAUUUUAUUUAAAGUAUUGUUGUUAGCUGCUGCUGAGAGCGUUACUAACUGAUACAUGGACAAAGACUUGAAAAUACAGUGGAUGGUGUACAAGAUUCGAAGUUGGACAGACUGGGGUUCCAAUCCUAUUUCUCCCACUCUGUUAUUGUGUGAUUUCAGGCAAGCCACUUCCCCUGUGAGCCUCAGUUUUCUCAGCUGUAAGAUGGAUCUAAUGAUACCCACCUGUUGGGCUUUUCUUUUAUUUUCCUUUUUUUUUGAAAAAAAAUCUUAUUUGCUUGGCUGUGCGGGUCUUAGUUGUGGGAUCUUUUAGCUGCAACACGUGAACUCAUAGUUGUGACAUGUGGGGUCUAGUUCCCUGACUAGGGAUCGAACUCGGGGCCCCUGCAUUGGGAGCACAGAGUCUUAGCCACUAGACCACCAGGGAAGUCCCCCACCUGUUGGGCUUUUCAAGAAUGGAAUGACUUUGAAGCGCUUAGGUAACAGUAAAGUGGUAUUCAGGUUUAGUCUCAUCAAGCUAGAAGUCAGAGGUAAAACAAAAAGGAAGGAGCUAGUGUGUUAGAGGAGGGGAACUGGUUAUGAAAUUUUUUUUCCCUUUUUUUGUCUCAAAUCUUCUUCAAGGCUGCUCUGGCUCUCUCUUCUCCUGUCGGUGACCCCAGCUUGGCAUGGAAGGGUCUGGAUCCAAGCCAAAGGUCUGUUUCUUGGUCCUAUGUGGAGGCGGCGGUAGGUGGAGCUCGAGGCUCUCCGCUGAGCUGGGCCGGGGAGUGGGACUCCUCACCUGGCCCUGGCAGGCGGAUGGGCGCUGGGGAGGCUCGGCGUCAGCGGCUGUGGCUCGAGGUAAAAAUAAUCAGGGAAGGACAGCUGCUUCCUUGUCAGCAACCAAGAGGGAAAUAAAGCUCAUGUCCCCUCCAGCGAAAACCUGCUCUCCGGGUCCCCUGGCUCCUGCCACCAACUGCUCGAUGUCUGUGUGCCAAUCCAAUUUGAAUGCCUGCGAGUCACCCCAGAGAGGGCUUAUUUUAACUUCAUCAAGUGCAGAGAAAAACAUCCAGGCUGGAGUGUGGGAGGGGAGGAGUAGCUGCUUGGGGGCCCCAGCAGGGGAUGGGAUCCGGGGGCUGCUGCCCCUCCAGUGGUUGGACCUGGGGUCCCUGCCUCCUAAUCUGGUUCAGCCGAGGCUUGGUGAGCACCCCCUGCGUGUUCCCCGAGCACCCCGUGCAUGUUCCCUGAAAUCGGGAGGAUAACGUCCCAACCCCUUGGCCCCGCUCAGGAAGUCCUUUCCGACGUCCUCAACCUCUCCUAUCCCCUCUCUUCUCCAAAACCCUCCUCCAGCCUGUCCCAGGCUCUCCACGAAGGCCCAGACGGCCUGUUCUCUCAUGUCUCCAUGCCUUUGCACUCACCCUGCCUUCUCUUUGUUUCUUUGCCUGUUGGAUGUCUACAAAUUCUGGAAAGUUCCUAGUCAUGCUUCAAGACUCAGUGUCACUGGCUGCUUCCCCACCUCUCCGGGCAGAGUGAGAUGUUCUCCCUGGAUCCCCGCAGGAUUUUGUACCCGCCUCUGUUGUCACAAGCCCUGUGCUGGGUGUCCAGGACAGAUGUGAACCCCAGCCGGUCCCUGCAGCACGAGGUUAGGAAUGUGCGCAAGAGACUGUUUCUGACCGCGACUCCAAUGACAAGAGACUUACCUUUUUAGUUCAUUCAUUUAUUGUUUUUCUGUGCAUGUAGUGGUUUAAUAAUGAAAAUAACAAGAAAUGUUUCAAUAAUAAAAAUGGAAAUAAUGUCAAUAAUUUAAAAAUCAAUGUUGACCUUUUUGCCGGGCUUAGUCUCUAAGACCUGCCUCCCCCGGAGGUCAUUUUACUUUGCCUGCACCCUUAAGAGAAUAGAGCACAGUGUUCAAGGCAGCCAGAUCCGGGGACAGAGAACCAGGACUUUUGGACACUGCUGCCUCCCUGUCCCCGAGUGGGAACAGGGAUGGUUGUUGAGCCCCCGGCCCACCUGGGAUCCCCACCUCUGUCCCUGGGUUGGCGGGUCAGUAGUGCAGGGGCAGGGCUCUGGCCUGGGUGGAGGUUGUUUGUUUUGCAUGUUUGGUAAUUUGGAAACUCUGAAAGUUGAAUUGUUCCUUAGGGCACAUUAGAAUAUGCCGGCGUCAAGGAGGCUGUGCCAGCAUGUCCCAGGCUGAGUCUCUGGCUGGGUGUGGUAGGAGCUGUGGAGGUGGGCCUCUUGGAGGAGGGUGGGUAGACCGAGGUGAGAGGAAGAAGAGGGAAU